rnacentral:rRNA from 1 species
AGAGUUUGAUCAUGGCUCAGAUUGAACGCUGGCGGCGUGCCUAACACAUGCAAGUCGAGCGGUAACAGGUGUAGCAAUACAUGCUGACGAGCGGCGGACGGGUGAGUAACGCUUGGGAAUCUGCCUGAUAGUGGGGGACAACCCGGGGAAACUCGGGCUAAUACCGCAUACGCACUACGGUGGAAAGCCGGGGACCGCAAGGCCUGGCGCUAACAGAUGAGCCCAAGUCGGAUUAGCUAGUUGGUAGGGUAACGGCCAACCAAGGCGACGAUCCGUAACUGGUCUGAGAGGACGACCAGUCACACCGGAACUGAGACACGGUCCGGACUCCUACGGGAGGCAGCAGUGGGGAAUAUUGGACAAUGGGCGAAAGCCUGAUCCAGCAACGCCGCGUGGAGGACGAAGGCCUUCGGGUCGUAAACUCCUUUUGAGGGAGACGAGCAAGGACGGUAUCCCUCGAAUAAGCCACGGCUAACUACGUGCCAGCAGCCGCGGUAAUAC